AUUUGAAACUGGUAGUCUAGAGGCCAGGAGAGGUUAGUGGAAUGCCGAGUGUAGACGGUGCAGAAUUCCGUAGAUGUUCGGUGGAACACCAGUGGCGAAGGCGACUGACUGGAACUGCGUACUGACGCUGCAGGUGCGAAAGUGUGGCGAGCAUACAGGACUAGAUACCCUGGUAGUCCACACCGUAAACGAUGAGUGCUAGUUGUCGGCAGGCAUGCCUGUCGGUGACGCAGCUAACGCACUAAGCACUCCGCCUGGGGAGUACGGCCGCAAGGUUAAAACUCAAAGAAAUCGACGGGGGCCCGCACAACCGGUGGAGCAUGUGGUUUAAUUCGAAGCAACGCGCAGAACCUUACAUACCCUGGACAUGCCCGGUCCGGUCGCCAGAGAUGGCUUCCUUGAUUCGUUCGCCGGUGCACAGGUGCUGCAUGGCUGUCGUCAGCUCGUGUCGUGAGAUGUUGGGUUAAGUCCCGCAACGAGCGCAACCCUCAUCCUUAGUUGCCAUCAGGUUUGGCUGGGCACUCUAAGGAAACUGCCGGUGGCAAGCCGGAGGAAGGUGGGGAUGACGUCAAGUCCUCAUGGCCCUUACGGGUAGGGAUACACACGUGCUACAAUGGCAGUGACAAUGGGAUAAUCC
rnacentral:rRNA from 1 species